rnacentral:rRNA from 1 species
GAUCCUGGCUCAGGAUGAACGCUGGCGGCGUGCUUAACACAUGCAAGUCGAACGAAGCAGCAGAGACAGAAACCUUCGGGCGGAAGACUUUGUUGACUGAGUGGCGGACGGGUGAGUAACGCGUGGGUAACCUGCCUUACACAGGGGGAUAACAGUUAGAAAUGACUGCUAAUACCGCAUAAGACCACAGCACCACAUGGUGCAGGGGUAAAAACUGAGGUGGUGUAAGAUGGGCCCGCGU